rnacentral:rRNA from 1 species
CGUGCAAGUCGAACGAGAGAGAGGGAGCUUGCUUCCUCGAUCGAGUGGCGAACGGGUGAGUAACGCGUGAGGAACCUGCCUCAAAGAGGGGGACAACAGUUGGAAACGACUGCUAAUACCGCAUAAGCCCACGGCUCGGCAUCGAGCAGAGGGAAAAGGAGCAAUCCGCUUUGAGAUGGCCUCGCGUCCGAUUAGCUAGUUGGUGAGGUAAUGGCCCACCAAGGCGACGAUCGGUAGCCGGACUGAGAGGUUGAACGGCCACAUUGGGACUGAGACACGGCCCAGACUCCUACGGGAGGCAGCAGUGGGGAAUAUUGCACAAUGGGGGAAACCCUGAUGCAGCGACGCCGCGUGGAGGAAGAAGGUCUUCGGAUUGUAAACUCCUGUUGUUGAGGAAGAUAAUGACGGUACUCAACAAGGAAGUGACGGCUAACUACGUGCCAGCAGCCGCGGUAAAACGUAGGUCGCAAGCGUUGUCCGGAAUUACUGGGUGUAAAGGGAGCGCAGGCGGGCGAUCAAGUUGGAAGUGAAAUCCAUGGGCUCAACCCAUGAACUGCUUUCAAAACUGAUUGUCUUGAGUAGUGCAGAGGUAGGCGGAAUUCCCGGUGUAGCGGUGGAAUGCGUAGAUAUCGGGAGGAACACCAGUGGCGAAGGCGGCCUACUGGGCACCAACUGACGCUGAGGCUCGAAAGUGUGGGUAGCAAACAGGAUUAGAUACCCUGGUAGUCCACACCGUAAACGAUGAUUACUAGGUG